ACGACCUUACUUGAACAUGAUCUGUUAUAUAGGAUCGUACUACUGUGUCCUUGAUUUAUAAGGAGACGGGAACAAAAAAAUAAUUUAUUUAUUUA
rnacentral:snoRNA from 1 species